rnacentral:pre_miRNA from 1 species
AAGAAGAUGAAUCCUGAUUUUUGUGUUAAAUGUUUGACCGUCCGUCUUAUUUGAAAAAAUUAUAAAAAAAUUAAAAAGACAAGUCACGCAUAAAAUAUUAAUCAUGCUUUAUUAUCUAACAACAAUAAAAAUACAAAUUAUAAAAAAAUUUUAUAUAAGACAGACAGUUAAAGUUGAACACGGAAACUCAGAGUUUGUUUUUUU